rfam:Felis catus isolate Cinnamon breed Abyssinian chromosome A2, whole genome shotgun sequence.
GCCUGGGUGGCUCAGUAGGUUAAGCCUCCGACUUCUGCUCAGAUCAUGAUCUCACAGUUCGUGGGUUCAAGCCCCACGUCUGGCU